UACGAAGGUGGCAAGCGUUGUUCGGAUUUACUGGGCGUACAGGGAGCGUAGGCGGUUGGGUAAGCCCUCCGUGAAAUCUCCGGGCCUAACCCGGAAAGGGCGGAGGGGACUGCUCGGCUAGAGGAUGGGAGAGGAGCGCGGAAUUCCCGGUGUAGCGGUGAAAUGCGUAGAGAUCGGGAGGAAGGCCGGUGGCGAAGGCGGCGCUCUGGGAAGAUACUGACGCUGAGGUGCGAAAGCGUGGGGAGCAACAG
rnacentral:rRNA from 1 species